UGGCGCGCGGGAGCCGGGCGCAAGCAGAGCGCAGCCGCCAGGGAGGCGCGGGGGUGGCGAGCCGGAGCCGGAGCCCGAGCCCGACCAGCAGCCGCUAGUGUUGGCGGAGAGCAACCGGGCGCAACCAGAGCCGCCGCCGCCGCGAUGGCCGUAGCCGUGGGGAGACCAUCUAAUGAAGAGCUUCGAAACUUAUCCCUUUCUGGCCAUGUUGGAUUUGACAGUCUCCCCGACCAGCUGGUCAACAAGUCAACUUCUCAAGGAUUCUGUUUCAACAUCCUGUGUGUUGGUGAGACGGGCAUCGGCAAAUCCACGUUAAUGGACACGUUAUUCAACACCAAAUUUGAAAGUGACCCAGCGACUCACAAUGAACCAGGUGUCCGGUUAAAAGCCAGAAGUUAUGAGCUUCAGGAAAGCAAUGUGCGGCUGAAGUUAACCAUCGUUGACACCGUGGGAUUUGGAGAUCAGAUCAAUAAAGAUGACAGCUACAAGCCGAUUGUGGAAUAUAUCGAUGCCCAGUUUGAGGCCUACUUGCAAGAGGAACUGAAGAUCAAACGUUCUCUCUUCAACUACCAUGACACCAGGAUCCACGCAUGUCUCUACUUCAUCGCCCCCACUGGCCAUUCGCUCAAGUCCCUGGACCUGGUCACCAUGAAGAAGCUGGACAGUAAGGUGAACAUCAUUCCAAUAAUUGCCAAAGCGGACACCAUUGCCAAGAACGAAUUGCACAAAUUCAAGAGUAAGAUCAUGAGUGAACUAGUCAGCAACGGCGUCCAGAUCUAUCAGUUCCCUACAGAUGAAGAAACAGUGGCAGAGAUUAACGCAACGAUGAGUGUCCACCUCCCUUUUGCGGUGGUCGGCAGCACCGAAGAGGUGAAGAUCGGCAACAAGAUGGCGAAGGCCAGGCAGUACCCCUGGGGUGUGGUGCAGGUGGAGAAUGAAAACCACUGUGACUUUGUGAAACUCCGAGAGAUGCUGAUCCGUGUGAACAUGGAAGAUUUACGAGAACAGACUCACACCCGCCAUUAUGAACUGUAUCGGCGCUGUAAGCUCGAGGAGAUGGGCUUCAAGGACACCGACCCUGACAGCAAGCCCUUCAGUCUUCAGGAGACGUAUGAAGCCAAAAGGAAUGAAUUUCUGGGAGAACUUCAGAAGAAAGAAGAAGAGAUGAGACAGAUGUUUGUCAUGAGAGUGAAGGAGAAAGAAGCUGAACUUAAAGAGGCAGAGAAAGAGCUCCACGAGAAAUUCGACCUCCUCAAGCGGACACACCAAGAAGAGAAGAAGAAAGUGGAAGACAAGAAGAAGGAGCUGGAGGAGGAGGUGAACAAUUUCCAGAAGAAGAAGGCAGCCGCCCAGUUGCUCCAGUCCCAGGCCCAACAGUCUGGGGCCCAGCAAACCAAGAAAGACAAGGAUAAGAAAAAAUGACUGCCAUCUUUCCACCUUGGAGACAGUGUUGGCAACAUGGCUCACUUUGAAGAUCCUUGCAUUUGAAUCCUUAAGACUGUGGUAUUUAGUCCUUGUGAUUGUUACCAUGUAGCUUUCAGAUCAGUCUCUAGCCAACAAGUGGCACCCUCAGGGCUGAAUGUGUUAAUAUGAAAAGACUAAUUGCAAGCCUGGGUAUCUGCUCACCUCCUUUUCCAACCUUCCUAUUCUGACAGGCAGCUGUAAAUAAAUGAGAUCUUUUGAUUAUUAGUGGAACAUCGUAGGAGGUACAGAUGAAGAUUUCAUGUCUUCCUCAAGUCAGUUAUUUGCAGUACUGUGAAUUGAAACGGCCUGUCAGUCCACUAUGGAAACUUUCUUGGCACCAAAGAAAAGCUUUUUUUCUUGGCAAAUUAUGGCACCGAGAGGCAUGAAGCUUUAAGGUCUGGCUAACUGCCACCACCUCCAGGAAGUCUAUCUUGACUAACUACCAGCGAUCACUUUCCAGGCUGAUGUAUUCUAUAGGUAUCUUUGGACAUUUCUCAACCAAUUCUUAUUCAUACCUAAAAAACCCUGUAGCACACAGUAUGACUUUGCAACACCACAGAGAAAAUAAAGGAAAAAAACAUGCUCUGCAAGAACAUAUUUGGUGACAAAACUUUUUAUCUCUAAAUAUACUCCUUGCUGGAACUUCCCCUGCAGUCUAGUGUUAAAACUCCACCUUCCAAUGCAGGGGGUGACAGUUCAGUCCCUGGUUGGGGAACUAAGGUCCCACAUGCUACAGGGUGGUGUGGCCAAAAAUUUUUUAAAUAAUCAUAAAAUGCAUUAAAAUAAACUCAUUACCUAUUACCCAGGAAAGUAUACAAAGAUGAGAGGCUAGUGUUAGUCAUCAUGUACAAAUAUAACAGUGUCUGAAAUUACCAGAAACUAUAUAUGAAAAUGACCAUUUUUCAUAUGUAUUUUGUUCACCAAUUUUUUCCCCUAGUUUGAAAGGCUCUAGCUAACACCCUAACAGGCAAGAUAUUAUUAACUAGUAUUAGAAUUUCUUUUCUCUUAAAACAAAAAAAGUUUUAUAAUAACUUUUAAGAUUAUAACUGUAGGCUAAGGCUUAUCAUGUCCCAGGGAUGUGAAAUAAGCUAAGCCAUGCUAAAAACAGUGGAAUGGGACUUCCCUGGUGGUCCAGUGGCUAAAAAGACUGUGCUCCCAAUGCAGGAGGCCUGGGUUCGACUCCUGGUGAAGGAAGUAGAUCCCACAUGCUGCAAAUAAGACCUAGUGCAGCCAAAUUAAAAAACAAAGACAGUGGAACAAAGCACACAGGAGAGAGAUGGGGCUUCAGAGUUCUUUAAGGCACCUGGUACUCCAGGCCAGGACCCCACUUCUUCAAAUAGCCUCCAAAAGACAGGUAACAGAAAAAAAGGAAUUGGGACAUGGAAAGAAGACUACAGUGUAAAAAAAAUUAUGUCUAAAAAGUAAGUACCCAGUUUAUUAUGUUGUUCUUCAACAAAUGAAUUACACUAAUGGCCGAGAAAAGUAAAAAUAUCACAAAUAUUCUAAUGCCUUAGUCACUGGGCAUAUAGUAUCACAGAAGAAGCCUGAAGAAAAACAUGUUUUUCAAGUAAAAAGAAGACUGUGUCACUAAAAACUUUCUCUGUAGAAGUAGUAAGUAAAUGUGAGGACUGGCAGAAAACAGGGCUAGAAAGACACUGAAGGUUUUGCAAAUUGAUACCACCUAAUGAAGCUUCGCAAGGUGGUGCAGUGGUAAAGAAUCUGCCUGCCAAUGCAGGAAACGCAAGAGGCGGGUGUGAUCCCUGGGUCCGGAAGAUCGCUUGGAGUAGGAAACGGCAACCAACUUCAGUACUGCCUCGAAAGUUCCAUGGACAGAGGAGCCUGGCAGGCUAUAUCCAGGGGUCAGAAAGCGUUGGACACAACGGAGCAUGCAAGCACACAGACCAUCUAAUGAUGGUUUACCCAAGUUAAAUCCUCUGUCCAAAGUAAUUCAUCAACAUAAAUUCCUUCUAUUGCAACCUGAGUUUGUUCUAAGAAAAUAAAAUAAUAUGGCCCUUGCUAAGAUACAGUGGAAGAAACAAAAUAAGCAUAUAUACUGGAAUUACUGCAACUUUAGACACCAGACAAGUUCUCUAAUGAAAUUCAUAGAAUGAUUUAGUUGCAGAGUGUCAGGAGAACCUUUAUUGUUAUUUUUUAGGACGACCAUCUCCCUCAAUGGUAACUAAAGUAUCCCUUGCUAGAAAAACAAACAGAACUGUAAUUCAGCUUACCAAGGAGGUAAGGCAAAUAGCCUCAAACAUUUACAGAGCAGACAGCCGAACAGGUUACUGAUGGGAAAGGGGGAUCGGAAUAGCAUUAUGUAACUGAUUCAGAUGGACCCAUCAGGUUCAGUGGAUAGCAUAAAGCCCUGAAAACACCUAGUGCCCUAAGGAGUCAGACUCGAGGCACCUUCAGGAAGGACUAGAAGACCUGGUGGGGAGGGCCUGCUUCUUGAACUCCAUACUCUUACACUACACCACAGAGGUAAACUUAUACUUUGACUAGGGACCUUGGUUAGAGAUAGGAAGUUAAAGUCAAGUCAAGUCGCUCAGUCGUGUCUGACUCUGCGACCCUGUGGACUGUAGCCCGCCAGGAUCCUCUGUCCAUGGGAUUCUCCAGGCAAGAAUACUGGAGUGGGUUGCCAUUUCCUUCUCCAGGGGAUCUUCCCAACCCAGGGAUCAAACCCGGGUCUCCUGCAUUGCAGGCAGAUGCUUUAUCGCUUUAGGGACAGGAAGACCACCAAGCUAAUCUGGGGAGAUUUAACAUCCUGAGAUUAUCAAGGCAGACGGCAUCGAUCAGAAAGAGGAGAACAUGAGUACAGCCACAGAAACAGAGCAAUGAGAGGAGUAAGAAGAAAGAGGGUUAGCCAGCUCAGAAUGAUGACCAAAAGGUAGCAUAAGAGGUAAGAGGGGUGGUGAUAUGGCAGUAGAGUGGGUGAGGGGACUAGAAUAGACAAGAGAAAGCUUGCCUUUCAAAACCAGGAAACACUCCCUGUACUUUGUCUGAAGUUCAGAGGGAACACAGGCAGAGCUGCUGACAAUGGGGCCCCUCACAGCAUGGAUGCCUGUGAUGGACCAAUGGCAGUCCUCUCAAACCACGACACUGGGAAACAUGUCAGAAGUAAUGUCGGCACCAUCUUAGCAAUCUGAUGCAAGAACUUCCUAUAUAACAACCAGAAAUCCAGGAGGAGUAUCUGAUAUUACUAGGGCUUUGUCACAGGUCUAAUUACAAAGAUACUAGACUUAGUGUUCCUAUGUGAACAGAGAUGAACUUAGCAAAAAUAACUGAGUCUUAAAGAAUAAGGAGCCACUCAUAUUUGGGCCUGGGGAAGGCAAUGGCUACCCACUCUAGUAGUCUUGCCUGGAGAAUCCCAUGGACAGAGGAGCCUGGCGGGCUAUAGUCCAUGUGGUUGCAAAGAGUUGGAGACAACUCAGCGACUAAGCACAGAUUUGGGCCACUAGGAUUCCAGAGAAUUGCUAAGACCAAGUCUCAAACUCUCUGAAAUUUUGUGAUCUUAUGUGUGUUUUUAACUGUCUUCCUCAUUAUAACUUGACUACUACAUGGAGCAGAGACUUUUUUUGGAAUCACUGUAUCCCCAAUACCUUGACCAUAGAUUUCUCAAUAAAUGUAACAUAACUAUAUACAUAUAUAAGACAAUGGAACAGUGGUUUUCAAACUAUGUCCAAACAGCUUAUGAAAGAGAAGAGGCCAUGCUGAAUAGGACUGCAUCUGAUAGGCUUCUGCCCCAAACACAUAUUACAAAGUAAUACUUUACUAUUUAAGAUUUGGGGAUUGUGCGUGUACAAGAUUUGGGGGGAGGGGGGUGAGGAAGAGUUCUAUUUCUAAAGAAAACACUGAAAACCACUGGACUAUAAUCUUCAAGAUUUUUAUGGUAUGGAUAAAGCACUGGGGUUUUUCUAGUUUUCUUUACUACUAAGUUUUGUGUGUCUCUGAGAAAAUCCCAAGUUCUCUGUGCCGCAGCUAUAAAAUAAACAGUUUGAAUGAUCUGAUUUUUAAGAAGGUUCCUUCAAAUUCCAAGCUUAUAAUAAUGCCUGGGGAGAACAGUUUUGGUGAACACUUUCUUUUAGCACCAGAAGACUUACAAUAGAGAAUAAGCACAUUCUCUAGUGUUCUUCAACAAAGAACAAGCCAUCAAAGCUACAGAAUAUACAUGUUAUUUACAAUAUUCUUAUUUACGGUUCAAAGCUUGUCCUUUCUCAGUGCUAGUAACUCUUCAUAUAGCAAAUUUUCUCUGCACUAACUUGGAAACAGGCACAGAAACAAAGUCAUGGAGGCAUUUAGAGCUAUGUCCUUCAUUCCAAUAAAGAUGAAAAAUGUAGGAGGUUCUCUUAAUGUCCCUUCCCCCACUUCCAGAGUCUAAUGUAAAUGAUUAACAUUCAACUUCCUUUUCCAACACUCAAGGUAGGCAAAGUAAGUGCUCUGUGUCACACUAUUCCCUUAAGUGGUAGUUUUUGAUGUUACUUUCUAAAAAUUCUCACUAACUAGCAACUAUCUCCCAGGGUUUAUUUUCAUUAUAGCAUUAUUUCAAUAGAAAAAAACAUUUCUCAAUUAUUUCAAUAUAACAAAUGCAAGUAAAAGAAGGUAUCUCCUUGUGUAUGGAGAAACAGCCUGUAUUACACUAACAUCAUGUGUCCCAGGGAAGGAGAACAAGCUGGGCUAUGCUAAAACAGAAUAAAACACAUCUAAGAGGAACAGAGCUCUAGUUGAUAUAUUGCUCUAUUAUCAUCAUUCUUUUUAUGAAAAGACAGCCCUUCUCUGCUCACAAACUAAAGCAUGAAAUUCUCAGAGCUGAGAGGCUGCCCUGAAGUAUAUUUUAGAUGUCUGCCAACUUUUUUUUGGUCUGUUAGCUUUUACGGCUUGUAUCUAUCAACUGUUACUGUCUUACAAAAUACCAAAUUCAAGUAUUAUUCUCAUUUUUCUUUUAUAGAAUUCUUUAAUAAGUUUUAUCAACUCAAAGAUUGCAGCUGUUUGCUGAAGUUGGUUUUUAUAUUACAUAAUGUUUUUAUGCUCAGAAUUUAGCAGUCUCUUCUCUAAAUAAAAUUUAAUAAAACAAAUCAGAAUAACUAUUGCCAAAUGAGAAUAAACAGGGACAUAUAAAAGGGAAAGUAGGCUCAAAAGUCUUAUUAUGGACUCAUUUGGCUAAGGGGUAUGGUCUGCAGCAGAUCUAAACUCGUAGGUUCCAUUUAAUGCCAUGAACAGAACCAGUAAGGAUCCUCUCCAAAUAGUUGCUAACAGAGUAACCAUUACUAACUUUUCAUUUGAAUUUCAAAUUUUCAUUUGAAUGAGAAUUUUCUCCACAACUUUUUAGUUUUUAUAUAGUUGAUAAAAAUUUAACCAACUCAAACAUUUUAUAUCAAUUUGCAGAUAAAGCUACUCACCAACCUUAGGCAACUACUUCAGAAAGUCCUGGAACUUCAGGAAUAUACUUUCUAUUUGCCAAAUACUUCCUUCUCUAGCCAACAAUAAAUUAUCUGCUUGUCUAAAAAGCAACUUCUUGCGGUUUAUGUUUUUGCCUUAUCUUUUUAAAAAAAUGAGUUAACUACAGAAGUACUGUAAUGAAGCCUAAUAGGUAGUAAGGUUCUUCAUACAAAACCAAUGGAGACUAUAUUAGCAAGAAUCUUAGUAACCUUUUAAGAUUAAGAUUUUCAGAAACCUAGAAGGUUAGAUGGUUAGACAGCAUCACCGACUCAGUGGACAUGAAUUCUGAGCAAACUCCAGGAUAGUGAAGGACAGGAAAGCCUAGUGCUGCAAUCCAUGGGGUCGCAAAGAAGUUGGACAGGACUUAGUGACUAAACAACCACCACCACCUAGAGGAGGGAUGAAAAGAAUCGAGAAAAUACUGUCUAGGCUUUAAAAGAGAAAAAAAGACAUCUAACCUAUACAUUUAAAUUGUGUAAUAAUACUUCAUCUGCCCUUAAAAAUGAGCUGCCAUUACAAGAUUAAAAAUAUCUUAGUUUUAUAACUAUCUGCUAACCCUAUUUUCCCAGUAAGAGACAAAUGAAUGCCAUUUAAUUAGACUGACACCUACCUGUGCUUUCUGAAGCAGUUCAAUUGUAAGAGGAAGCCAAUCAGGAAUGAGUUUCUCCAUUUCCAGACUAACCAUCGCCAGGGCAAGCAUGGAUCCUUUGAACUGCAGAAGUUGGCUGCAGGCCAUACAGUGAAGUAAUUGCUUG